AUUGAACGCUGGCGGCAUGCUUUACACAUGCAAGUCGAACGGUAACAGGCCGCAAGGUGCUGACGAGUGGCGAACGGGUGAGUAAUGCAUCGGAACGUGCCCAGUCGUGGGGGAUAACGCAGCGAAAGCUGUGCUAAUACCGCAUACGAUCUAUGGAUGAAAGCGGGGGACCGUAAGGCCUCGCGCGAUUGGAGCGGCCGAUGUCAGAUUAGGUAGUUGGUGGGGUAAAGGCUCACCAAGCCAACGAUCUGUAGCUGGUCUGAGAGGACGACCAGCCACACUGGGACUGAGACACGGCCCAGACUCCUACGGGAGGAAGCAGUGGGGAAUUUUGGACGAUGGGCGCAAGCCUGAUCCAGCAAUGCCGCGUGCAGGAAGAAGGCCUUCGGGUUGUAAACUGCUUUUGUACGGAACGAAACGGCGAGCUCUAAUACAGUUUGCUAAUGACGGUACCGUAAGAAUAAGCACCGGCUAACUACGUGCCAGCAGCCGCCGUAAAAC
rnacentral:rRNA from 1 species